rnacentral:rRNA from 1 species
UACGGGGGGUGCGAGCGUUGUCCGGAAUCAUUGGGCGUAAAGCGCGUGUAGGCGGCUUGGUCAGUCUGCUGUAAAAGUCCAGGGCUCAACCCUGGAACGCCGGUGGAUACUGCCAAGCUAGAGUACGGAAGAGGCGAGUGGAAUUCCCGGUGUAGCGGUGAAAUGCGCAGAUAUCGGGAGGAACACCAAUGGCGAAGGCAGCUCGCUGGGACGUUACUGACGCUGAGACGCGAAAGCGUGGGGAGCAAACAGG